rnacentral:lncRNA from 1 species
UGGUGGGUACAAGUACGUGUACAAAUAUAAUUUGGUAUUCAUCCCCGAUUAGUAAUACUUGUACCAUACCCAAUCAAAGUGAGUAUUUCCCGUCAAAGUCAAAGCAGGUCUGAGGCAAUACCCGCAGCUAUGAGAUUAUUUGUCAUGCCUAUGUGUGAUUCGUGCAUUAGUGAUAGUGUGGCCAACCGUGUUAGAACUGGACGAUCCAUCAUUGGACCAUCCAUUAUCCCUUAGUUUUGAUGAACACAAAGAUAUAAAUUUGUGAUGACUAAUGAGUUACUUAUAAGUGGAC